rnacentral:pre_miRNA from 1 species
AAUAAGAUUAUUUUUUAGUUUUUUCUAUAAUGUUUUGACUCUUCGUCUUAUUUAAAAUUUUUUUGUGAUUAAUAUUUUUAUUCUUACUAGAUGAUAAAACAUAAAUAGUACUUUAUGCGUGACUAAUUUUUUAAAGUUUUUAUACAAUUUUUUUCAAAUAAGACGAAUGGUCAAACGUUGGACAUGAAAAAAC